rnacentral:rRNA from 1 species
CAGCAGUCGCCACGGGAAUACAGAGGGUGCGAGCGUUAAUCGGAUUUACUGGGCGUAAAGCGUGCGUAGGCGGCUUCUUAAGUCGGAUGUGAAAUCCCUGAGCUUAACUUAGGAAUUGCAUUCGAUACUGGGAAGCUAGAGUAUGGGAGAGGAUGGUAGAAUUCCAGGUGUAGCGGUGAAAUGCGUAGAGAUCUGGAGGAAUACCGAUGGCGAAGGCAGCCAUCUGGCCUAAUACUGACGCUGAGGUACGAAAGCAUGGGGAGCAAACAGGAUUAGAUACCCGAGUAGUCCCUGUCUCUUAUAC